GGUGAACGCUGGCGGCGUGCCUAACACAUGCAAGUCGAGCGGGUACCCGCAAGGGUACCAGCGGCGCACGGGUGAGUAACACGUGGGUAAUCUACCCCUCGGAGGGGGAUAACCGGGGGAAACUCCGGCUAAUACCCCAUACGAUCCAACAACACAAGUUGUUGGAUGAAAGGAGUGUUUGCUCCGCCGAGGGAUGAGCCCGCGGCCCAUCAGGUAGUUGGUGGGGUAAUGGCCCACCAAGCCUACGACGGGUAGCCGGCCUGAGAGGGUGGUCGGCCACAAGGGCACUGAGACACGGGCCCUACUCCUACGGGAGGCAGCAGUGGGGAAUCUUGGACAAUGGGCGAAAGCCUGAUCCAGCGACGCCGCGUGGGGGAUGAAGCCCUUCGGGGUGUAAACCCCUGUUGCGAGGGAGGAAUAAGGCCUGGAGGAAAUGCCAGGCCGAUGACUGUACCUCGCGAGGAAGCCCCGGCUAACUACGUGCCAGCAGCCGCGGUAAUACGUAGGGGGCGAGCGUUACCCGGAUUCACUGGGCGUAAAGCGGGUGUAGGCGGCUCGGUAAGUCGGGUGUGAAAUCCCACAGCUCAACUGUGGAAUUGCGCCCGAAACUGCUGAGCUUGGGGCCGGUAGAGGGAGACGGAACUGCCGGUGUAGGGGUGAAAUCCGUAGAUAUCGGCAGGAACGCCGGUGGGGAAGCCGGUCUCCUGGGCCGCGCCCGACGCUGAGACCCGAAAGCUAGGGGAGCAAACC
rnacentral:rRNA from 1 species